UGUUAUUUCUAUACAUCUCACACCCCCUUUGGCUGUACAGCCAACUAACCAAUGUAAAUUCCCACUUCAGAGGAACCUUCCUCAAGUGAAUAUAACACAUUGAAGCAGACGACUAAUUUCUCAGCUUGUGUCCCACUCUGCAAGCAGAGUCUUUGUGAAGGUGAGUAGUGAUUGAGUGAUGCCUGCAUGGACCAAGCAAGACAACGGUGUGGGUCAGCACAUACUGAUACACAGUAUUUUAUUUGCAGGAAAUGAUCUAUGCCCUUGUCCACUGCUUAUUGUACAGACACCUUUCCUACAGUGGUCAUUUCUUAAACGUUUUAUGAAAAAGCAUUGUUUUCAAACCACUCUUCAAGCUUUAACUGAAAUGCAGUAUACCUGCUAUGUCUUCCUACACACAUCCCUAUAGCAAAUAAAUUCCAUUUUCUUUUUAUUACUAAGGAAGUUUUUAAGAUUACACCCAUUACAGUAAUGUUUCAGUUGGAAAUAGAGAAUUUAAAAUGUAAACUUGAAGAUGGAUACUUGAACUGGAUAAUUUCUAGGAUAGCAUUUUUAUAGUACCAUUUUCCUCCUUAUCAGAAAUUCACAGUACAUAUAGCUGUCAAUCUCUACAGGAACAAGUAUAUCUUUCUCAUAUGCUAACUUUAUUAGCCCUUUCUCACCUUUAUGUGCCUCACAUAAUUCACUUGCUGUGUUUACUUGUACUUGUACUUGUACUUGCUCAUGUAAUGAGCAAAGUCUUUAUUGUUCAGUACAAAUAAAAACAACAACAAAAAAACUUAUUUCCAGCUUUGAUAUUACUUAAAGAUCAGAUAAACCAGAAAAAUACAGCAUAGCUUAAUUGUUGUUUGCAUAGUCAAGUUAGGUUUCAGUAGAAAACUGAGGGGGAGUAAAUUUACAUGCAAGGUACUGAAAACUAGCGUCAACUUCUUUGAGAUAUCUUUCUCAUUUUGAUUUUAAAGCAGUGCUACAGAGUUCAUACUCCAUGCCUAGAAACCCUCUCACAGCAUCUGUGCAGCUUGAAGAUGUUAGCUGAGCUUUUUAGGUACCAAAAUGUAGAAUUCAUUCCUGUAAAGUCAGUUUGCAUUUACAGUACAGAGAGCCUAAAAUACAACCCAAAGUGGACCAGAACAGCCUAAGAACAUGAGACAACUCCAGAGCUGUGUCAUUUUCUCUAUUGCUCUAACGGGUUACAUGCUGCUGAGUAGCUUGGUGAAACUUUUUGUUGCCUGGCUAUAAUUUGGACCAGGCUCAAAGCAGCUGUACCAUGCCCAGUGAAUAGGGCAGGGCCAGGCUACAGAAGCAGCCACCAAAAUCUCACUCAUUUUUGCGGGUGGAGGGACACUUCAAGCCCAGUUUUAUACAGCCAUUUCAGUUAUUAAGAGUAGAACUGAGUAACUGCAUUUAAUGAGAAAACUGCAUGACUGGAAAUAGUCAAACCAUUUUUCACAUCAGUGGAGAAUCACAGCUGAGCUUCACUUCCUCACACAGACAGCUAAAAAAUGGAAUCAGCUGUUUUCAAGCUGGGACAUAAUCAAAGUCAAUGCAUUAAAUACAGCAUCCAUCCUGGCUUGUGCAGCUCCGUAAACUCUUCUUUUUGUACAGGUGGAGAAAUGUCUGUAUCUUGAAUGUUUUUCUCACAGUUUUCUACAACAUGAUUUGACAGCAUAUGGACACAAAAGGAACAUGUACUCUCCAAGGAACAGCAUUUUUUUUAACUAAUUGAAAUAUUCUCCGAAGAGAAUUCUGGAUGUCUUCCCAUAGUGUAUGGUCCACAUGCACUUUCAGUUACUGGCCUGUUUAAGGACAGAGCAAUAACUCCUGCAGUGGUGGAUUUGCUGAAGGAAGCAAGGCAGGUUAAUAUAGGGUUCAUUUCACUGUCUAAACGUGGAAGCCUUCCAAAACAAGGGCAGAUCCAGACUCAACAAACUCCUUUGUCUCUGCAUUACUCCCUUUCCCUACAUAACUCUUUGGAUAAAGGAAGAAAAGGAAGGACUCUUCCAACCCACUGCUUCUCCCCUGCAGUGAGCUAAUAUACACCUUAGGUCUGAUGGCAUCUGGCUGCUGCAAGGCAUUAAAGCUUUGGCCUUUUCUUAGUCAGAAUCCAGCUUCAUUGCGAGCAGCAGGAAAUCCAUGUGAUGCAGGUAAAUGCAUUAUCUGAAUAUCUUUUGACAUGCAUAAGUAGAAGAGAUGGCCAUUUCAGUAGCUCCUGUAAAAGACAUUUUCUAAUACAUCCAUGUCAAACAAACAAUACCUAAGCCAUAAAACUUUAGGGAAAGAGAAAAACAAAAUGAAACAAAACAAAACUGAAAGAUCAGCAACACAAUCAUCUUGGAAGCUCUCCUCAUUAGAGGUAGUCCCUGAGCAGAGAAAUAAGGUCAAAGCAGAAUGAGAGGCAGAAACACUCAGAGAAGAGUAAAACCAACACUGGUGUGCUUUGUCAGCUGAUGAAAGGCCAGGUGAAGACAAGAGCUGAUUUUCCGUUGAUCAGAACAAGCUGAUGGGUCAGGCCCAUCUGGGUCUGUUAAGGAGAGCUGAGCUUUGGCCCACCUCUACUCUCCUUGAAGUCCCCAGCUGCUUUAGCAUGAAUAUCAGUAGUAGCAGCAAUUCUGAAAUCUAAAGAGCUACCUUGGGCAUUAGUGGCAACAGGCAGAGACAUAUUGUGAGCACAUUUGAAAAUCUGAUUCUUAAUCCAAUCCCCCCCCCCCUUUUUUUUUGUUUCUUUUUGCCUCUGACUUCUAUUAAUUAGAUUGAAACUACAUACUACUGAUCUGCAGGGGACAGGUGAAAAGUAAAAUGUUUGUGGAACUAACUUCUGAUUAAAACUCUUGAAUAAUCCAGUUGCCGAGACAGGGUGGAAAAAGGUUGAGGGAUAAAUAAGGAAGUGGAAAGCAUUAGAAAGAUGCAAUUUCAAUAUAUUUUUCACUGUACUCUUUAAAAUGAUAAAACCCAGAGACCUCAGGCAUGAGGUAAUUUUCCCCAGCAUCCUGCUUUCUAAAAAUAUCUGCUAGCUCUCUGCUUUCUCCACCUAAUUAAAAGGACUGAUGUCAGAGCCUUUGGUUAUGUCAACAGUUGCCCUGCCUCCAUCUUGCUCCUCUUUCCUACCUAUAACAACAGAUGCUGUGUGGGUCUGUGAUAAGCAGAGUCACAGAGCUAUGCCAAGACCUUCCCUUAAAUGUGUCAGGGAGGGGUGAGAGGAAUGAACUCCAGAAGAGUAUAGUCAGGCAGAAGAAGAAAAACAGAAAGGAAACCCUGACCAAAAGCAAAACUUGCUCUUUCCAUUCAUUCACAUCUUCUGUUUGUCUACCCUACAAAAAACCCAGCUCAUGCAAAGCCUUCAAAGAAUUCAAAGUCUAAAAGAACACUGUAUAUGGUAUCAAUAUAGUUGAUCCUGUUUGGGGACUGAGGAAUAGGUUAGAUGUCUUCAGGGACUCUAUUUCUUGAUAUGCAGCUGUUAUUCUGAUGCAGAUACUCACCUUUCACGGACACAUCGCAGAAGAUCGAUUUAUAAGCUAUUAAGUAUUCACCAGAAUUUCUCUCAGGAUGUGUUUUGGGGAGCUUAAUGUAGUCCUCACCAAAACAUAGACCUGAAGAACCAGUUCACAAACAAAGUAUGACUACUAGACACCUUCAUGCAAUUGUCUUUGAGGUGUUAGUAGCAUACUGAGGUGAAAACUUGAGCUGAACUUUAAAAAUGCACAAUGUAAUGCUUAAAAAUCAAAUGUGUGGAACAUAUGAACUUAAUUCAUAAUUUUUGGAACAUGCACUUAAAUAGAUUCCAGGCAUGGCUACAUUAAAUGCCAAGUGAAUUUUCACUGAUCUAAUGAAUACAAAUUUUCUAUGUAUGGGAUCCUUUCUAAAAGAAGAACCUCAGGUAUAAAUCUCAUAAAUGUAAAGAAAAAUCUUGAAAGGAUGUUUCUGCUUUUGAGAACAUGGGAGAAGAGCUGUGACAGGAGAGGUUGGCAGAAGUAAUAAAUAUUUUAUCAGAAACAGGAUUCCCUCCUCUUCUUGUAAAUCAUCCCUCAUGUACCAGAAGACAAAGCCUGUCUAAUUACCAUUAUUUUACAUGGUCUUUGGGUAUCUAAGGAUCUGCUUGCUUUUAAACAAGUAAAUUGCUAAAGGUGAAACCAUUAUUGUGAUGGCUGAAGCACUGAGGUAAAUUUCCUAAGACCAAUUUUGCCAGGCAGGGUGCGAAUUUCCAGGAACCCACAGUUAUCAUCAUUAAAAUUGGACAACUUGUCAUAGUGAUGUCCUGGCUCAUGGAGCAGGACAUUCACACCUUGCAGUGCUGAGUGCUAACUAAUUAUUUCCAGCAAAAUUAGAUUAAAGAUCAAGACCUGGAAAUAGGCACCUUUUUGCACCCUUUUACCAUUCAAUUCUUUUGCAAUCUUCAGUUCAUUCUCUCUCUUUUCCCAUGCGGUCACACUCCCACACACUUGUCAAAAUUUAAACUUAACUCAAACUCCAUCUGUAUAGAUGCAAAGCCAAGGGGAACUAAACAAACCUUACUUGCAGCCUACGGGCAUAAAUAGUAAUCAGUUGAAUUCAGGAAGAGGGACACAACUUUAAGACUUAAUGCCCUAAUGUCUUGUUCACUUGUAUCAUGCAUGAUAUUUUUUGCACCGCACUCUGGUGUGUUUGACCUUCAUGGAAGUAACAUUUAAUUCCUAGAAAAUAUGACCGUGCAUUUCUCAAAAAAAUAUGUCUUUCUAAAAAUGCUGCUUCUGGGCUCCCUUAAGAGGCCUGGAUGAGGAAUGUCUCAACUAAAAUGCAGACUCUAAUCUCAUUCAUAGCUGGUCAACAAUGGGACCUAUGACUUUCUGUCAGUUCCUGGAAGACUUCAUGAAGGCAGAUACAAACUCUUCCUUUUCCUUGUAAAGGAAUCAGUACCGGCAUCAUUACCACCAUGACAAGGUUCUUCCACAGCGUGGGAAAGAAAUAUGGCACCAAG